CAGUUUUGAAUGUGGGGAUAUUGUGUAAAGUGUGGGAGGUUGGAGACUUUUGGGAAUGUGAAGGUUAAUAAGCAUUAAAAAUACUUAGAUAUGUGAGGUAUCUUGAAACAUAGAAUCGCCCUUGGAUACAUACUGAUACGAAGCACCAAUUAAUUUACCCGAGCUGUGCCAGAAUGUGGAGUGAGGCGAUGCUUCAACUGAAGAGAACGCCCCGGGUGCAGACUGAUAUUACCUGCUCCUUUAAGUGAAGAAUGUAGCCCUAGAUGAUGGCGACAGAUAAUUGAGAGUCAUAUUAAGAUGUUGGCUGCCCUGUCACUGUGACCUACAUAUCCAGUGUGCACCAUCAAGGUUUGGGCAAGCAUACUGACAUCCACAGUGGUUAUUGCAUCUCUUACUCUGGUUUUUAAUUGAUCAGUGUCUCACCUGCGUCUUAUAAACAAUGUCUUUGACAUAUCCCGAAAGGAAAGAGUCCAGUGGGGUUAUGUCAUGUGAUCUUGGGGGCCAAGAAAUUGAACCAUCUCGUCCAAUCCAUCUUCCUGGAAAAUGUUUGUCCACAGCAUAACGAACUAUGGUGCUCAAACGAGGUGGCACACCGUCUUUUUGGAAAGUGAUUUCGGGCGGAAGCGCUUCAAUUUGCGGGAAUACAAAAUUCUGCAACAUAUCUAAGUAAAUGACUGAUCUGACUGUCUUUUCCGCGAAAAAGAAAGGCCCAAUGAUUUGAUCAUACAUAAGAGCACACCCCACAUUCACUUUUGUGGAGUGUUUCAUGUGAAAGAAAGGCUAUGACUUUCCAGGCACUGCUGACAAACUUUCUCCAGAUAAA